rnacentral:tRNA from 1 species
GCAGACGUAGCUUAGUUGGGAGAGCGCAGGACUGAAGAUCCUGCUGUCGCUGGUUCAAAUCCGGCCGUCUGCACCA